CUAGGCCUCGCCGUGAUCGAGCAAGCACGCAAGCGUCAAGCCUCUCGGCUGACUUGGCUCAAGCUGGGCGAAGCGGGAACCAAGUAUUUUCAUGCAAAGUUCCAUUCACGAUGAAGGAAAAACUCCAUUCACAGCCUGUAGAUGAACAACGGGAUCGCCACGUCGCACGAAGACAAGGAAGCAGUCAUCCUCGACCACUUCAACUCCAUCCUCGGUUGCAAAGGGGCUCGCCCAAGAGCCAUCAACUGGAGCCAAAUCCAGCUGCCCACAAUCAGAGGAGGUGGCCUAGACAACCCUUUCUUAGAGGACAAGGUU
rnacentral:rRNA from 1 species